UCUCAAAUUUAUUUCAUUUUUCGUAUAUUAAUUCCCAUUUUUCUGUGAUUUAUGUAUUCGUUUGGAGAAUAAUUAAACUUUUUGUUUUUUUUUAUGUUUUUGUUUGAAUUUUCUUAGUCCAUAUUUUACAGUUCUAAUUUAAAUGCUAGAGUUGGAGUAUGAAAAUUCUUAAUUUUCGUUGAUUUUUUAGGAAUUAUUUUAUACAAUGGAUGCCAUUUAGCUUCACAACAUGAAUAAAAGGAUAAAGAUUUUCAAAGGAAAUGUUAUUAAUGUAAUUUCCUGUUGAGGGAUUAGAUGCUUUUAGGUUAAAGGGAGAGAUUUUUGUUAUUUUGCUCAACUCCUUUGUAUUGGGUGGAGUUGGAAAGUUGUAAAGAUUGUAAUUUUGACUUGUCUUUUUAAGUUCCAAGCAUUAGGGGAUCCACCCCAGUUAACUCAAUUCAUGCUUUUGUGGAGCUAAGUCUUGGAAAAAUCAUAUCUUGAUCAUAAUAUAAAACUUUUCUCAUGGAUUCAAUGCCGAUGAAUUGGGAUAGGUCCUAGAAUAAUUGCAUAGGUCUUGUGUAUAGCAUAGUGAGUAAUAUGCCUCUCGAGAAGCUUCUAAUGAUGUUGGCAUUUGGCAGUUGAAGCAAUGCUCAUGGCAGAAAAAAAGCCAAGGGUUCUUUGGCCUUUGCUUAUGUUUGUAAAGUACUUGGGAAGUAUUUGUUUUCAUUUUUGGGAUCAUGCUAUGUGACUUAGGUUUCUUGUUUAUGUGUGUCUUUUAUGGCUUUUAGUCAGUUCUGUUGUGCUUUGUGUUGGGUUUCAGAGAUCAGAGGAAUAAGUUAUGAGCUUGUUGGCACUCAAAAGUGGUAGAACAAGAUGCUUGGUGUGGAGAGGUUUGGGUAGUGAAACAUAGAGUCUAAGGUUAUAUUAUUCUUCUUUGAUAGUUUGAUUAUAUUCUCUCACUAGUUAGAGUUCCCUUGUCACUGGACCAGUCUCCAGAAUCCAUGCAUCACUACAUUCGUGGGACUCUUGAAAAUGUACAUCAGGCUACACCAUUUUUCGCUGGGCUUGCAGUUGCUGCUGCUGCUCUUGCUGGUAGAUAUGGAAUCCAUGCUUGGCAAGCAUUUAAGGCAAGGCCGCCAAAACCUAGAAUACGCAAAUUUUAUGAAGGUGGUUUCCAACCUACAAUGACUAGAAGAGAAGCAGCAUUGAUUCUUGGUGUUAGGGAGAAUGCAACACCAGACAAGGUCAAGGAAGCACAUAAGAAAGUAAUGGUUGCAAACCAUCCUGAUGCAGGUGGUAGCGAUUACCUUGCUUCAAAAAUCAAUGAAGCUAAAGAUGUGAUGCUUGGGAAGACAAAGGGAAGUGGAUCUGCAUUUUAAAUCAUAAAUUUUGAUUCUGCCAUGCUUUUGACAAUCUGCAAGAAGUAAAUCCCUUUCAUCGCCCCUGCAAAAGUAUCUUCUUUUAUAAAGAGGCUUAUACUUGCCAAAUGAAUUGCAGCUGCUUUUGCCCCAAAAGCAUGGAAGUUGUAGCUGUUGUUCUUAAUGUUUUUGUAUCUUAAAAGCAAGACUCCUAACAGCUAGGCAGUCACUGCUGAGACCUAGAUGAGUUCAAAGGGGAUUGUUUGUCAAGAAAUUCCGGGUUCAUCCACAAUAAGUGUUAAAGAUAUUUACGAGUUUUGGUUGAACGCGAUUCGAGUUAUUUAAUGUUUCGAGACUUUGGCCAAUGAAAAUGAACCCUGUCAAGAUGUAAGUAGGCAAAAGAAAGCUAAUAUAAAAGAUGAAGAAGGUUGUUGAGCUUAAAGUCAACAUUAUUCUUUUCUUCAUCUUAUGAGACACAGAUGCCAAUUGUCAUCUGUAUCUCUAGUUUCAUUCUAGCUAGUUCUAUUUUCAUUGAAAUGCUUGAAUGUCUGGUAGCAUCCUUACAUUCAAAUGGCAUGAUUGAUUAUUGAACUCUUAUUUCUUUUUCUUGUAAGAAAGAUGUUUCUGUGAAAACAACAGGUGUUGCUUCUGAAGCAGUUGACCCCUCUACAAAGGAUGCUUGUGAAGGUAGAUUGGAUAACUAUCCAUGUAUUAAUAGAAUAAGAAAGAGCUCCAAUGGGUCCCAUUAACAACAGAGGUCACGGUGCCUAAAUUGACACGUGUCAUAAGCAGAUGCAAAACAAGCUAGAUGUCA